AUUGAACGCUGGCGGCAGGCUUAACACAUGCAAGUCGAGCGGAGGUGAGGUGCUUGCACCUUAUCUUAGCGGCGGACGGGUGAGUAAUGCUUAGGAAUCUGCCUAUUAGUGGGGGACAACAUUCCGAAAGGAAUGCUAAUACCGCAUACGUCCUACGGGAGAAAGCAGGGGAUCUUCGGACCUUGCGCUAAUAGAUGAGCCUAAGUCGGAUUAGCUAGUUGGUGGGGUAAAGGCCUACCAAGGCGACGAUCUGUAGCGGGUCUGAGAGGAUGGUCCGCCCCACUGGGACGGAGACACGGCCCAGACCCCUACGGGAGGCAGCAGUGGGGAAUAUGGGACAAUGGGCGGAAGCCUGAUCCAGCCAUGCCGCGUGUGUGAAGAAGGCCUUUUGGUUGUAAAGCACUUUAAGCGAGGAGGAGGCUACCUAGAUUAAUACUCUGGGAUAGUGGACGUUACUCGCAGAAUAAGCACCGGCUAACUCUGUGCCAGCCGCCGCAGUAAUAC
rnacentral:rRNA from 1 species